rnacentral:rRNA from 1 species
CACGGAAUUAGCCGGUCCUUUUUCUGAAGGUACAUACAAUAGAGGACACGUCCUCUUUUUUAUUCCCAACUAAAAGCAGUUUACAACCCAGAGGGCCGUCAUCCUGCACGCUACUUGGCUGGUUCGGACUUUCGUCCAUUGACCAAUAUUCCUCACUGCUGCCUCCCGUAGGAGUCUGGACCGUGUCUCAGUUCCAGUGUGGGGGACCUUCCUCUCAGAACCCCUACCGAUCGAAGGCUAGGUGGGCCGUUACCCCGCUACUACCUAAUCGGACGCAUCACCAUCUCAUACCGAUAAAUCUUUGGUUAUAUCACCAUGCGGUAACAUAACAACAUCGGGUAUUAAUCUUACUUUCGCAAGGCUAUCCCCGAGUAUGAGGCAGGUUUGAUACGCGUUACGCACCCGUGCGCCGGUCGCCAUCAGAAGAAGCAAGCUUCUCCAUGCUGCCCCUCGACUUGCAUGUGUUAAGCCUGUAGCUAGCGUUCAUCCCUGAGCCAGGACUCAAACUCUCU